CAGAGCUGUGUUCUUGUUGUGUUUUUGGCACGUAAGAUAACCUAAACACUUCACAUUUAAAAGUUGUAAUAAUAUUGGGAUCUUAUUUUGCCUUUUUAGCUGCUCAGUCACGCUGAUAUUUGUAUAAUAAAACUUACUGUAUGUCUGUUUUUUCGGUUUAGUUUUUGUAUUACAGGCCUUUUCAUAAAGAAAGCACCUGGUGUUUCUGCAGCAGCAGGAGUGAAUAAAGAUGUUACGUCAUGCUGUGGUCAGAUGUUGUUAAGUUGCUAUUUCUGUGUAAAAGGAAGGAAGCAGAGUGAAGAAGUUAAAAACUCUUUGUUUCCUUCACAGUUCUUUGGUAUCUGCUGUGCUGCUGCUUCACUCUCUCUCUUUACAGAAAGUUGUAGAAGUUUUCAGACGUGUCACUGCUGGAUGUGAGGAUGGGAGCCACUUUGCUCUGUGAGCUGGGCCUAUUCUUGCUCUGUAUGCUCCUCUGCACUGGACACACUCAAGAUGCUGUGCUAACUAUUGAACCCAGCUGGUCCAGUUUUUUCAUUGGAGAGUUUGUUACCUUCAAAUGUGACAUGAAAGAAAGAAAAGACACUGACUGGUAUUACCAAAUCAAGAAGGAUGGUCGAGAAUUUCUGGCCUACAGGGCAAACAAAGACUCCAAAUUAGAAAUUAUAUCUACACAUGACAGUGGUGAAUAUCAGUGCUCUGGUCGCAGGAAGAGCUCAAAUGAUACAAAGAACAGUAAUACUGUCUCUAUAACUGUAUUAGCAGAUAAACCCAGGGCCACACUGACAGCAGGAACAACAAUCAUACCAGUAGGGGGCAGUGUGACACUGACCUGCUCUGUGCAGAGCUCUGAUGGAUGGAAAUAUGAGUGGUUCAGACGAACUCAGAGAACCUCUGAAGGUCAAGUCAGAGAUCAACAAAACAGAGAUAUCAGAGUAUCUCAAGGAGGAAUCUACCACUGCAGAGGAACAAGAGGAAACCCAGUUUACGCCACUUAUGACAGCUAUGAUGUCACCAUUGAGAUAACCUUUUCCAAUAAAGUUGUUGUAAAACAACAACCCAACUGGCCUCAGAUAUUCAGAGGUGAGACGAUCACUCUGACAUGUGAGGUGCAGGAAGGAGGUGAAACCACUGAGUGGGAGUAUGAAUGGAGAGGACCCAGGACACCCACACAGUGGACACACAAUAAUGAUGUGACAUUCAGAGUUUCUGAGUCCAGCAGUGGAGACUACAUGUGUAAGAGUCGACGCAGAGAUGACUCAUAUUCUUCAACAGAGUGGAGUGAAGCCUUCACAUUGUCAGCAUCAAAUCAACCAAAGGCUCAAAUAACUUCUGAUAUGAGAGACGUUCCAGUAGGGGGCAAUAUGACCCUGAUGUGUUCAGUGAACCCAUUAUCAUGUGAAUGGAAAUACUACUGGUACAGAGAUGAGAAAUCCUCUGAAGCCCUGACCACACAAGAUGCAGUUUUCCACUCAAAUGGACAAAUCAGAGUCUCACAGGAAGGACUCUACAGGUGCAGAGGAGGAAGAGGAAACCCAGUUUACUACACAGAGUACAGUGAUCCCUUUAACACUGAUAAAAAUGUAGCUGUGUCCAGUUCUUCAUUUCUUGUUCUGAUGAUCACUGGACUCAUUUUUGGAGUCAUAUUUAUUUUGCUCCUGUUCCUGUUCCUGUACAAAAAGGUCUACAAAAAGAAAGGUUCUCCUGACAACCAGAGGGUGAGUCAUGAUGAAAAUCAACAACAAGUCUACUCCUCUCUUCUUCAUGGUGAUCGUUCUGUCUAUGAAACAAUCAGAGGCUCUGGAAAUACUCAAAACGGUACAGUAUCAACUUUAAUAUAUAGUUUGUGGAAGCUAUGUGAUUAUAAAAUAACAGUGAUUAUCACUAAAAACAACACUAACAUUAUUAUUUUAGUUUGACCAGAGGGUUUUUACACCUAUAAUUAUAAUGAACUGCAGAGCUGUUUCAGACUGAGAGUAUAUUUGAAUAUAUUUUACAGAAGUUCAGUGUUGUUCAUGAAUUCACUGAAAGAGCGCAUUCAUCUAAUGUGCUCAUUUAAAGCAGAAUGUAUCUGGAAUUGUGAAUUUAUUAAUUUAUCUGUGCUUUACCGCCCUUGCUCUAUAUGAAGCUGGGUGACCCGUGUGAUGUAGGUCCACUGGCUCCUUCUUGUGGAAAGUCUGCGAUUCUUUCUAUCGAAACUGGGUGAGCUAUGAGAAAUGACAGUAGUUUGAGCAUCUCCUUUCCUAUAACUCAGUGGUUCCCAAACUUUUUUUUUCUAGACCCCCUUUUUGUUUUACAAGAAAAUCUUUGUUGUCCAGGUGAAGCCAAAGACAAGAUAUGCUUCAUCAUAGUCUUUGGCUUGGAAGGAAGUUGGGUUGGAAACACAUUUUAUUUUAUUUUUUCAAAUUCAUACCCCCCGCCCCCCUUGCAAUGGCCUCCCACUUUGGGAACCACGGUCAUAACUGAAGACCUUUGUCAGGUCCCAUUCCCCCAUAUUUCCCACCAUUCACAGACCAUCAAGUUGCAAAUUAUGGGCACAAAAAUACAUUAACGUUUUCUAGUAAAGUAUUUAGGUUUAACAUUUAACUAAACAUCUGAAAUAUGUUUUAAAAAUGAUUCUCUGAUGUUUUGUUUUUAUAUUAUAUUUUUUAAUUCUCAUUGAAAAAAUGGAAAUAUCAGUAGGAAUAUUUUGAUAAUGUAAACAUUAAAUCAUCAUUAUAAGUGAGGCAACUUUCUUAAAGGUUCAUUGAUUACAUUAUCUGUGUCAGUGUUUUCAUUUUAAAUGGUUGUGAUUUUCUCCUUAACAUUGUACAAUAAGUUGGUUAGAAAUCAUAUUAAAUACCAUAAUAUAGGCUUAAUAGUGUCUUUUUUUCCAAAUGGAUAUUCCCAUUAAGUAUUCAUGUUCUUUAUAAUCGAAUAUUUUUUUAUUAAAGCUUUUGUAUAACAUUUCAUGUAACAACAAAAAGUUUAAAAAGUGUUAUAUGUAAUGUUUGUAGUGUGUGAAAAUGUGGCUUUAAAUUCAGCUGUUUCUUUGUUACAGUAGAUAUAAUGAUAUCUUCUACAUUAUCCCCAAAAUAAUGAAGAAUACAUACAGUAUUCAUAAAUAGUGUAUGGAUUUGAAUGUAUCAUGUAUUUCAUGUCUAUUUUUUUCUAUACAAAUUUGCAAUACAUUUGUCUUUAUGGACCUGGAACAGCAAAUAAAGUGGUGAUCAUUAUCUUAAAUUGUUA